rnacentral:lncRNA from 1 species
CUUUACAUUUCUUCCUUUUGUAGAUCCAUUUGAAUUCAAUAGGUAUUAUACCUACUGAUGGAUCCACUAAGGAUCAGAUUUGGUUAGAAUGUAUUGAGGUAACUUUUGAUUUUAUUGCAUUCAACCACUUCUCGAAAUUAAUAUCUAACAUCGACUCAUAGUAGUUUUGGGAUCAUGUCCAUGUUUUCUAUAUCCCAUGAGAAAUAUUUUCUCUACAUCCUCUGUUAGAAUACCUAAGUAUCUUUUAAUAAGAUAAGAGAUUCUACUCGACCUACGAGAUGGAAGAGGUACUACAUGUACUGGCUCAAUUAUGAAUAGGUCCUAUAGUUUUUAUGACUCAUUGCUCUUCAGAGAUUUUUUCUUUGAGCUUAAUUUUUUUUUCAUUAUUUCUAUCUUGGAUAAAUUAUUUCGCUAA